UCUCUGUCAUUUUAUAAAAUCAUUAUUUACCAUUUUAAUGAUUUCUUCUUCAGUACUCUUGCUGUGGUACCCAACUGGUCUGACUGUUGAGCACUUUUAGGGACCCACUAUUUUGAUGAAGAACUCAGCCAUCCUUUAUGAUAUUUCCCAGCUGCCAAGACCAGCAAACAUGGUCUGAUCACUGAACACAUGUCUGGAAUUCCUGCCUUAGGUCCCUGCUGCUUUGAAUGGUCAUGAACCCAUUUCCAACAACCCUCAUGUAUUCAAGAACUAUUAGCAUGGACAAAAGCAAGAACUGGGUUGCAGGCUGAAGACUACCACAUAGACUGUCUAUACAAGGUUUGUCUAACAGCAAAGACCAUUGGGAAGAAAGAAGAGAAAUGGCUGCACUUUUAUUAUCAAGAUUCCAUAAGGAUAGUGAGAGAUGACAUGCUGGUUGAUAUUACUAAGUGAAACUUCUUCUGGAAAUGCUGAAUGGAUGAAGAGGCAAUGUGGAAAAUUUACAUCUACCUGAAAAAAAUUCUUAGAAGGAAAUCUCUCAGGAAGUCAUAGCCAAAAAUCUUAGAGCUUCCAGGUUAAAGAAGAAGUAGUAGAAGCAACCAGAAGGAAAGAAUUCAAGUAAUGAGGAGCCACAAUACUAACAAUUUACCAGUCACUUAUUUUAAAAAAUUGAGAAAUUAGAAUAUGACAUUCCUGAAGAUAAAAGAUGAGCUUAUAGUAAAAAAAAAUUACUGAGCUAAAUUGAAUAUAAUGUUAUGAGGGUUGAGGAUAGGGGAAGAGCAAAUGGAUCUUGAAUGUAUUAGAGAAAUUUUAGCAUUUUUGAUGAAAAGACAAGAGUUGUGGAGAAAAGUUGAAGUUCAAACACAGAAAUGAAGAGAAAUUUAUUUUUUAAAUUCCUUAUUAAUUUAUUUAAU